CAGUAGCCGCGGUAAUACGUAGGUGGAAAGCGUUGUCCGGAAUUAUUGGGCGUAAAGGGCUCGCAGGCGGUUUCUUAAGUCUGAUGUGAAAGCCCCCGGCUCAACCGGGGAGGGUCAUUGGAAACUGGGAAACUUGAGUGCAGAAGAGGAGAGUGGAAUUCCACGUGUAGCGGUGAAAUGCGUAGAGAUGUGGAGGAACACCAGUGGCGAAGGCGACUCUCUGGUCUGUAACUGACGCUGAGGAGCGAAAGCGUGGGGAGCGAACAGGAUUAGAUACCGCGUAGUCCCUGUCUCUUAUACA
rnacentral:rRNA from 1 species